AUUGAACGCUGGCGGCAUGCCUUACACAUGCAAGUCGAACGGCAGCGGACCUUCGGGUGCCGGCGAGUGGCGAACGGGUGAGUAAUAUAUCGGAACGUACCUUUCAGUGGGGGAUAACGUAGCGAAAGUUACGCUAAUACCGCAUAUUCUGUGAGCAGGAAAGCAGGGGAUCGCAAGACCUUGCGCUGAUUGAGCGGCCGAUAUCAGAUUAGCUAGUUGGUGAGGUAAAGGCUCACCAAGGCGACGAUCUGUAGCGGGUCUGAGAGGAUGAUCCGCCACACUGGAACUGAGACACGGUCCAGACUCCUACGGGAGGCAGCAGUGGGGAAUAUUGGACAAUGGGGGCAACCCUGAUCCAGCCAUGCCGCGUGUGUGAAGAAGGCCUCGGUUGUAAGCACUUUGUUGGGUAGAACGGA
rnacentral:rRNA from 1 species